GGGUCUCCGCCGCGCUACCCGGCCCUGCUCUCCCCGCCCCUGGACCUGGUGUCCUCGCGUGGGCUGCAGACCGCGGACUACGAGGAGCCCUCCCUGCCCUUUAGAACGGGGUCGGGGCUGCGAGGUCGUCCCUGCGGAAGCCAGCGGUCAAGGGGCCGGGCGGUGCUGGUCUCGCCAAGGGGUCACAGCCCCGGGCACUCGCAGGCCCGAGGCUUCUCUGUCAUCUCCAGCUAUGGACAGGACAGUUUCCCUGUGUCCUGGGGAAGGAAAUCAUUUCAAUUCUCCUUUCUACCUCAUCAGUGGGAAGUGGUCUGACUUCUGUUUCUACCCUGGCAGCAUCAUUACCUGAACUCCUCACCUUAUCCAUUUCUUCUUCUUUUUUUUUUUUUUUUUUCCUGUCCCUGAUUCGAUUCUCAAGGAAGACUAUCUGGACUUUGAACCCCUACUCUUUCAUACCAAAAACAUUUUAAAGCUCAUUUUCUGCCAGUCUUCCUGGAAAGCGGUGAUUCUUGAAUGAAAGAUGUUUAGAAAGAUAAGUCAUCAUCUUUGUAAGUUUUCCAACUACUUUUAAAGAGCUACAAUAAAGAAGGCAGAACCCUGCAUUUUAAUGUUUGUCAAAGAUAAUCUCACCAGGUUAUUUUGACAAACUACAAAUGUGUUUUAAAGACGUGAAUGGUCUUUUAAAAAGUUCAAAUAUCUGGCCCCUCUGUUGGAUUUUUGUUGGGCAGUUAGCGGAAGAAUUCCUGACUUCUUUCCAAAGAUUGCCAAGAAUUAGAAACAGUUUGGUAAGAGAGAAAAAUAACCACAUUUUGUCAACAAUAAAGAACAAAUAGGGCCGGGGAUUUAGCUCAGUGGUUCCGCCGCCUGCCUUGCAAGCGCAAGGACCUGAGUUCGAUCCCCGGUACCAAAAACAAAACAACAACAAAAAAACAACUAUUUAGGGAGUU
rnacentral:lncRNA from 1 species